rnacentral:rRNA from 1 species
UGGGAAUAUUGCACAAUGGGCGCAAGCCUGAUGCAGCAACGCCGCGUGCGGGAAGAAGGCCCUAGGGUUGUAAACCGCUUUCAGCAGGGAAGAAAAUGACGGUACCUGCAGAAGAAGGUGCGGCCAACUACGUGCCAGCAGCCGCGGUGACACGUAGGCACCAAGCGUUGUCCGGAUUUAUUGGGCGUAAAGAGCUCGUAGGCGGUUCAGUAAGUCGGGUGUGAAAACUCUGGGCUCAACCCAGAGAGGCCACCCGAUACUGCUGUGACUUGAGUGCGGUAGGGGAGCGGGGAAUUCCUGGUGUAGCGGUGAAAUGCGCAGAUAUCAGGAGGAACACCAGUGGCGAAGGCGCCGCUCUGGGCCGUAACUGACGCUGAGGAGCGAAAGCAUGGGUAGCAAACAGGAUUAGAUACCCUGGUAGUCCAUGCCGUAAACGUUGGGCCACUAGGUGUGGUCUCAACCAACGAGAUCCGCGCCGUCGCUAACGCAUUAAGUGCCCCGCCUGGGGAGUACGGUCGCAAGACUAAAACUCAAAUG